rnacentral:lncRNA from 1 species
UCUGCUUUUCACUGGUGGCAAAUGGAAGCGGCUGCCAAAUGAAGGAGAUGCCCCUGGAUGCUGUGCCUCCCUGGGAGUCCUCCCGUUCUACACUCACUGUGUAAAACAGUCGAGGAAUUGCACAGGUGCUCCUAGUAAUCUUGCACGCGAACAUUGCACCAAACAGUAGAGAAAUCACACAGGGUAACUUGUUAGUAUAUCAACAAAGAAACUAUACCAACUCUGCCUUGCUGUAGCACAUGUUUACUUAUAGUAAAAUACAUACACCAGUGCAAAUAUUAUUCACACAAAUGAAGUAAAAUAU